AGUGAACGCUGGCGGUAGGCCUAACACAUGCAAGUCGAACGGCAGCACAGUAAGAGCUUGCUCUUACGGGUGACGAGUGGCGGACGGGUGAGGAAUACAUCGGAAUCUACUUUUUCGUGGGGGAUAACGUAGGGAAACUUACGCUAAUACCGCAUACGACCUACGGGUGAAAGCAGGGGAUCUUCGGACCUUGCUCGAUUGAAUGAGCCGAUGUCGGAUUAGCUAGUUGGCGGGGUAAAGGCCCACCAAGGCGACGAUCCGUAGCUGGUCUGAGAGGAUGAUCAGCCACACUGGAACUGAGACACGGUCCAGACUCCUACGGGAGGCAGCAGUGGGGAAUAUUGGACAAUGGGCGCAAGCCUGAUCCAGCCAUACCGCGUGGGUGAAGAAGGCCUUCGGGUUGUAAAGCCCUUUUGUUGGGAAAGAAAAGCAGCAGGUUAAUACCCCGCUGUUCUGACGGUACCCAAAGAAUAAGCACCGGCUAACUUCGUG
rnacentral:rRNA from 1 species